GUUCAUAUCAUAAGUUCAAAAGGACAACUCAAAAACAUAAUCAAAGAGGCUUAAAUCUGGUAUCUGAAAUUUCCCAUACUGAAUAGAAAUUUCUUUUUGGUUGGGAGGAAAUGGGGACAUUUGUUUACAGCAGCAGCUGCCUUUCUUGGAAAAAUCUGAGCAGACAGAUGAAUCCCUCUCACCAUGUGGUUCCGCGUGGUGUUCCAGAAAAAGGGUGUUCAAGAAUUAAAUCUGCUGUUUGUUCUAAAGAAGAUGCUCGUAUGAACCGGGAUUGUGAGAUAUCUGCAGGCUCAUUGAAUAGGAGGUCAGCUAUUAUAUCUGGUGCUUCUUUGAUUUCAUCAGUACUGCUUUUUCCUGGAGAGGGAUCUGCUGUAAUUAAACAAGGUCUCCUAGCAGGGAGAGUUCCUGGACUUUCUGAACCAGAUGAAGAAGGCAGGUUGGAGGACAUACCGAAGACCGGAUGACAAGUCAGGUGGACACGGUGUUGGAUGGAGUCCUAUGAUUCCUUAUACUUUUUCCGUGCCUGAUAAAUGGGAAGAGGUCCCUGUGUCAAUUGCUGAUCUAGGUGGUACAGAGAUCGACUUGAGAUUCGCAAAUCCCAAAGAAGGGAGAGUCAUUGUAAUUGUGGCUCCUGUAAAAAGAUUUUCAGAUGAAAUUGGUGAAGAAGCCACCAUAGAACAAAUUGGACCUCCAGAUAAAGUGAUUAGCGCAUUUGGGCCUGAAGUCAUUGGAGAGAAUGUUGAAGGUAAAGUCUUAAGAUCUGAAGUAGCAGAGCAUGAGGGAAGAACAUAUUACCAGUUUGAAUUAGAGCCACCACAUGUGAUGAUCACAGCAACGGCUGCUGGAAAUCGCCUAUACUUGUUCAAUGUUACUGGAAAUGGUCUUCAAUGGAAAAGGUAUUACAAAGAUUUGAGAAAGAUCGCUGAGUCUUUCAGGGUUGUCUGAGUUACAUCUACCCCAUGCGUGAUAGCACCUUAGCAGAGGUGGAAUGCACAAGGUAGAAGAGUCGGUCACUAUAAUCACAAUUAUUAGAAGCCACAUCACCUCUAGUAGUAUAUACAGUUAAAUAUGUGAGAGGAGAAUUUCCUCUAGAAUGAGUUUUGGUAACAAAGUUUAGCUACCAAUGAUUAUUGUAAACUGUUUACAUUACCAAUAUUACAAGUCUUCAGAAGGCACCUCUUCUGG
rnacentral:misc_RNA from 1 species